rnacentral:rRNA from 1 species
GACGAACGCUGGCGGCGUGCUUAACGCAUGCAAGUCGAACGGAAAGGCCCUGCUUGCAGGGUACUCGAGUGGCGAACGGGUGAGUAACACGUGGGUGAUCUGCCCUGCACUUCGGGAUAAGCCUGGGAAACUGGGUCUAAUACCGGAUAGGAGCCAUUUUUAGUGUGAUGGUUGGAAAGUUUUUUUCGGUGUAGGAUGAGCUCGCGGCCUAUCAGCUUGUUGGUGGGGUAAUGGCCUACCAAGGCGGCGACGGGUAGCCGGCCUGAGAGGGUGGACGGCCACAUUGGGACUGAGAUACGGCCCAGACUCCUACGGGAGGCAGCAGUGGGGAAUAUUGCACAAUGGGCGCAAGCCUGAUGCAGCGACGCCGCGUGGGGGAUGACGGCCUUCGGGUUGGAAACUCCUUUCGCUAGGGACGAAGCUUUUUGUGACGGUACCUAGAGAAGAAGCACCGGCUAACUACGUG